AACGAACGCUGGCGGCAUGCCUAAUACAUGCAAGUCGAACGAGAUCUUCGGAUCUAGUGGCGCACGGGUGCGUAACGCGUGGGAAUCUACCCUUGGGUUCGGAAUAACAGUUAGAAAUGACUGCUAAUACCGGAUGAUGACGUAAGUCCAAAGAUUUAUCGCCCAGGGAUGAGCCCGCGUAGGAUUAGCUAGUUGGUGAGGUAAAGGCUCACCAGGGCUACGAUCCUUAGCUGGUCUGAGAGGAUGAUCAGCCACACUGGGACUGAGACACGGCCCAGACUCCUACGGGAGGCAGCAGUAGGGAAUAUUGGACAAUGGGCGAAAGCCUGAUCCAGCAAUGCCGCGUGAGCGAUGAAGGCCUUAGGGUUGUAAAGCUCUUUUACCCGGGAUGAUAAUGACAGUACCGGGAGAAUAAGCCCCGGCUAACUCCGUGCCAGCCGCCGCGGUAA
rnacentral:rRNA from 1 species